CGCCCAAAAUCCUUUUUGGAAAAAAGUGCAGACCACAGAUCCUACAGUGGCUUGUGUCCUUUUCCCAGGCACAUCCUCAAUCUUGGCAAAAUAAAUCUCAACGCUGACUGAGACUGCCUCCGUCAUUCUCUGGUUUCAUGGUACUCUCCUAGGUGUCGUCCUGGGACAUGCUCCCAACCCUGUGAGGGAGGCAGCCAGACCCCCAGUACAGACUUCACCUGGCACCAAAAGAGAGCUGACAUGGCCCUCUCAAGGCCACACAGCUACCUGAACAUCAAUCCGCGUCCUGACUCCUGGUCUGAGUGGUGACAGUGAUGCACUAGGACAAAUGUUUUACUUUUUAUUUGGGAUUGGAUCAUAAAGGCAGCAAAACAUUUGAUGACUCAUGUCCACAAGACACUCAGUGAAAACUGUUGAAAUGAAGGGAAAAAAAAAUGAGGGCAAGUAUCCUGAAGCCUAUGAGUGGAAUUCAGAAUGAAUGUCAUCACCAGUGAUAGAUGAAUAUCAUUUUGUAAGAGGUCUAAAUGACAUAGCAAGCAGUUUUGCUAACUCUGAGGAUCACAGAGGUGAGCAGCCCAUUUCGUUUCUGGGAGGCUUGUCCAGGGAUGAAUGAGGCAAGCCCGCAGGUCCCCACCUUGGGUGCCUCUCUUUUCUCCAAGGUUCACUCUGCUUCUCCUGAAGCCGCAGGGAUGACGCUCAUGCGGAAUACUUGCUAAAGGCAGCCUGAGACUCCGGACAGAGCAGAAGCAGAAGCAGAAGCAGGAGUCAGCUCAAGCUCCCUCAGGGCCUCCUGCUGUCCUGACCCAAGGGCUGGGAGGGCCUUUCCUGAGGUUGGGGAGGGGAGCAGUUCUUUCUUUUUGUUUUUUUGUUUGUUUUGUUUGUUGAGACAGGGUCUCGCUCUGUCACCCAGGCUGGAGUGCAGUGGAACAAUAAUGGCUCACUGCAGCCUCGACCUCCUGGGUUCCAGCCAUCCUCCUGCCUGAGCCUCCCAAGCAGCUAGGACUACAGGCACGCACCACCACACCUGGCUAAUUAAAAACUUUUAUUAUAGAGACAGGGUCUCAUUCUGUGGCUUAGGCUGGAAAUGCAGUGGUGCAAUCAUAGCUCACUGUAACCUCAAACUCCUGGGCUCAAAGGAUCCUCCCACUUCAACCUUCCAAGUAGCUGUGCACCACAUCCAUCUAGUUUUGGGUUUUUUUUUGUAGAGAUGGGGUCUUGCUAUGCUGCCCAGGCUGAUCUGGAAUGCCUGGCCUCAAUCCUGCCUCAGCCUCUCAACGUGCUGCGAGAGUUAUUUUGUUGAAGAAAACUUCCAGAUAUUAUUUGACUAAUAAGCACUACAUCUCAAAAUCCAUGAGAAUGUAAGAAAUUUCUUGCACAUCUGUAUAAAUACUCAGAUCUGUUUUGAGUAGAUUCUGAGAAAAUUAAGAUGGGCUAACGAAGGCCUAAAGGAAUAAUCAGCAAUUUGGAGAAACAUGAGCAUAUUUUAAACUCAUUUAAAAAAUCCAAACUAUUUAUUGAAAAGCUCUACUAAACAAAAUUAGUUCAGACAAAGCAAUAAGAUGACGAAUCAAGCUCUCUCCAGAGAUGAAAGAAAAGCCAGUCUCAAAGAUGACUAUAACUAACGCUGUUGCUGGAAAGACAAGGGCACCGAGCCAGCCCUGGGAGAGGCUCCACUUCUUCAAAGACAAAACGAUUCCAAACGUGGCAGGACACAGUGCUCACCCUACAGUGAACCUCUGGGAAUAUGUUAUUUUUUAAAUUCAGUUAAUCUUUCUUCUUUUUUUUUUUGAGACAGAGUCUCCUGUCGCCCAGGCUGGAGUGCAGGGGUGCGAUCUCAGCUCACUGCAACCUCCACCUCCCGGGUUCAAAUGAUUCUCGGGCCUCAGCCUCACAAGUAGCUGGAAUUACAGGCAUGCGCCACCAUACCCAGCUAAUUUUUGUAUUUUUAGUAGAGAUAGGGUUUCAUUAUGUUGUCCAGGCUGGGAGACAGAGCAAGACCCCAACUCAAACAAAAACAAAAAAGCUGAUCACAGAAACAACAGCUUUCAGAGAUUAGUUUCCUUCUGUCUGUCCCAUGUCUUGGCUUCUGAACACUCACAUGAUAUUACUGGGGUCGCCUUCAGGGUAUUCAUCAGAGGCAGCAGCUGGCACACACUGGACUUUGGGUUUCAUUCGCAUGGACUUUGGGUUUCAUUCGCAUGGACUUUGGGUUUCAUUCGCAAAGCUUCCUGAGAGCAUAGAUCCACAGCAGUGGAUGAGAGCCACAGAGUUGUUUGGGAAUCAGGCGACAUGCUUAUAGAGGAAACAGAUACACACAGGGCCAUUAUUUUGAUUUAUUGCAUUCUGAAGUACUCCGGGGGGAGGGCCUGAGAACGAUCCGCUUUAUCAGCAGU
rnacentral:lncRNA from 1 species